rnacentral:rRNA from 1 species
GAUGAAUGCUGGCGGCGUGCCUAACACAUGCAAGUCGAGCGGCAGCGCGGGUAGUUUACUACCUGGCGGCGAGCGGCGGACGGCUGAGUAACGCGUGGGAACGUACCCCAAAGUGAGGAAUAACUGCCCGAAAGGGUGGCUAAUGCCGCAUAUGCUCUUCGGAGUAAAGCUUUAUGCGCUUUGGGAGCGGCCCGCGUCGGAUUAGGUUGUUGGUGAGGUAAUGGCUCACCAAGCCGACGAUCCGUAGCUGGUCUUAGAGGAUGAUCAGCCAGACUGGAACUGAGACACGGUCCAGACUCCUACGGGAGGCAGCAGUGAGGAAUCUUCCACAAUGGGCGAAAGCCUGAUGGAGCAACGCCGCGUGCAGGAUGAAGGCCUUCGGGUUGUAAACUGCUUUUAUAAGUGAAGAAUAUGACGGUAACUUAUGAAUAAGCACCGGCUAACUACGUGCCAGCCGCCGCGGUAA